rnacentral:tRNA from 1 species
GCGGGUGUGGCGGAAUUGGCAGACGCGCAUGGUUCAGGUCCAUGUGGGGGCAACCCCGUGAAGGUUCAAGUCCUUUCACCCGCACCA